rnacentral:rRNA from 1 species
GACGAACGCUGGCGGCGUGCUUAACACAUGCAAGUCGAACGGAAAGGCCCUUCGGGGUACUCGAGUGGCGAACGGGUGAGUAACACGUGGGUGAUCUGCCCUGCACUUUGGGAUAAGCCUGGGAAACUGGGUCUAAUACCGGAUAGGACCACGGCAUUCAUGUGCUGUGGUGGAAAGCUUUUGCGGUGUGGGAUGGGCCCGCGGCCUAUCAGCUUAUUGGUGGGGUAAUGGCCUACCAAGGCGACGACGGGUAGCCGGCCUGAGAGGGUGACCGGCCACACUGGGACUGAGAUACGGCCCAGACUCCUACGGGAGGCAGCAGUGGGGAAUAUUGCACAAUGGGCGCAAGCCUGAUGCAGCGACGCCGCGUGAGGGAUGACGGCCUUCGGGUUGUAAACCUCUUUCGCCAGGGACGAAGCGCAAGUGACGGUACCUGGAGAAGAAGGACCGGCCAACUACGUG